UUUAUUGCCUAUUCAAAUCACAUUGUUUGUCAGAACGACUCAAUGUCUUUGUUUCAUUACAAGACCAGUGAUGUUAUGUUUUUUUUUUUAUCUUGGUUUUGUGUGUUGCUGCUAAACCAGAUGGAGAAGAAGCGUAUAUGCAUGAGCUUCCAGUGCAUGAGGGAUAACAGUGGAUAAAGAAAAGAGAUUCGCCCAUCAAACCUUAGCACACUCUUUUUAUGUCCUUCACGUAUAGCAAACCGAACAAGUUCCUCCGAAAAUGAAAAUAUUAUGUAUUGGUUUCAAAAUGUAUUAAAAUAACCGUUAGAAAUUUUGUUUGUAAAAACACGUUAAUUAUUUUUCAAAUUUCUUAAUAAUUUAUGUGACCAUCAGGUCUAUCCAUCAAGAUUAUGCUUUACCUUUGUGGUUAACGUUAAAUUUGCAACAUGUAUCGAAUCAGUGAUGACGAACGUGCCAAAAGCCUAAUGGUGUAGUUAGAUUUUUGGUGUAUACGCGGCGGACGUAUAAAACAGCAUAACUAAAAUAACUCUUUCCACCACUAACCAAAGCCUAACACGCGUCAACAUGCGAACUGCUCUACGGCUCUACCGCUACGUACACGUGCAUGACAAAGAGCUGCAACACAAAGCAUACCACCUUUUGCUUCGUGACACGUCUAGCUGACGUGUUGCCAAAUAGCGUAAUUAAAUAAUAAUCACAGUUACCGACUAUAGUACUAUACUACCACGUGGCUUUGGCAAUGCCUAUAUUAUGUGACAUGCUCACCGAGCAAAGCAUUGAACAACAACAAUUCUCGAAGAAUCUUAAGCUAUCUUUUUGUAACGUCUUUGAAUUUCACUAAGAGAGAAAAAAAGUUAGAAGAAAAUGCAGUCGAUGAAGGAAACAGCUUCGAACAUCGCAGCUUCUGCGAAGUCUGGCAUGGACAAGACCAAAGCCACCUUGGAGGAAAAGGUAUGUUUACUAUAAUUGUGUUUAUCAUUUAAGCAAAAUGAUUUUCUUUUGAUGAUAAAUAAUGGUAUAUGAUCUUAAGGAGGUAAUCUUGAAAUGGAUCGACGUAGUAUGUAAAUAUGAUUCCUGAUCUGCAAGAAUCUUAAGGACGUUGUUUUUUAUGAUUUGUAGAUUCCACCGCAAGAUAUAAGAUGGGGUGGAGAGGAGAAUGGGGCAGCUUUAAAUGCAGGACAUGGGAGUCGAAGAACCUUAAGCAAUGGUGGUCUAGGGAGAUUGCCAAUGACUCAGCCAAGAAGAGACCAUCUAGUAGCACAAAACGGUGGCGGGAGGAAGCUUUUCGAUGAGAUCGAACUGUUCAACACAGACUCGCUUGUGAAAGAGGUAAGCAUCUCUCUGUCUCUCCGUGGAUGAGUUUUAACAUUUUGCUUAGUCUGAAGUGUUUUUGCGUCGCAUUAGGUGGAGAGAGUUUUUGAUUCUAAUCUUCCUGACCCGCACGAGCUUGAUAAGGCCAAGAAGCUACUCAAGGUCAGAGACGUAACAAGAACGCUUUAUUAUUUAUAUAAACGAUUGAUCAAAAGUGAAACUUGGUUGCUUUUAUUGGAUGAUGCAGGAACAUGAACAGGCGCUUGUUUCUGCCAUUGCAAGGCUUGCGGAUGCUUCUGAUUUCGAAAGCGGUAAGAAACAUUAAGGGAGGGCUUUGUAUAUGGCCUGAGAAUAAGUUUAUUGCCUAUUCAAAUCACAUUGUUUGUCAGAACGACUCAAUGUCUUUGUUUCAUUACAAGACCAGUGAUGUUAUGUUUUUUUUUUUUCUUGGUUUUGUAUGUUGCUGAAAACCAGAUGGAGAAGAAGCGUAUAUGCAUGAGCUUCCAGUGCAUGAGGGAUAACAGUGGAUAAAGAAAAGAGAUUCGCCCAUCAAACCUUAGCACACUCUUUUUAUGUCCUUCACGUAUAGCAAACCGAACAAGUUCCUCCGAAAAUGAAAAUAUUAUGUAUUGGUUUCAAAAUGUAUUAAAAUAACCGUUAGAAAUUUUGUUUGUAAAAAC
rnacentral:lncRNA from 1 species